UACAGAGGUCUCAAGCGUUGUUCGGAUUCAUUGGGCGUAAAGGGUGCGUAGGCGGCGCGGUAAGUCGGGUGUGAAAUCUUGGAGCUUAACUCCGAAACUGCAUUCGAUACUGCCGUGCUUGAGUUUGGGAGAGGGAUGCGGAAUUCCAGGUGUAGCGGUGAAAUGCGUAGAUAUCUGGAGGAACACCGGUGGCGAAGGCGGCAUCCUGGACCAACACUGACGCUGAGUGAGCGAAAGCCAGGGGAGCAAACGGG
rnacentral:rRNA from 1 species